UUGGAGGGCAAGUCUGGUGCCAGCAGCCGCGGUAAUUCCAGCUCCAAUAGCGUAUAUUAAAGUUGUUGCAGUUAAAAAGCUCGUAGUUGAAUUUCGGGAUCAGUACGCCGGUUGUGCCUUCGGUAUGCACUGGUGUCACUGAUUCCUCCCUUCUGAAGAACCAUCAUGCCAUUCAGUUGGUGUGGCGGGGAAUCAGGACUGUUACUUUGAAAAAAUUAGAGUGUUUAAAGCAGGCUCGCGCUUGAAUACAUUAGCAUGGAAUAAUGAAAUAGGACGUUUGACCCUAUUUUGUUGGUUUCUAGGAUCGACGUAAUGAUUAAUAGGGAUAGUUGGGGGCAUUAGUAUUCAAUUGUCAGAGGUGAAAUUCUUGGAUUUAUUGAAGACUAACUACUGCGAAAGCAUUUGCCAAGGAUGUUUUCAUUAAUCAAGAACGAAAGUUAGGGGAUCGAAGACGAUCAGAUACCGUCGUAGUCUUAACCAUAAACUAUGCCGACUAGGGAUCGGAUGAUGUUAAUUUUUUAAUGACUCAUUCGGCACCUUACGGGAAAC
rnacentral:rRNA from 1 species